rnacentral:misc_RNA from 1 species
GUGAAUCAUCGAAUCUUUGAACGCACAUUGCGCCCGCCAGUAUUCUGGCGGGCAUGCCUGUUCGAGCGUCAUUUCAACCCUCAAGCCCAGCUUGGUGUUGGGGCAUUGCGGCUCGUCCGCAAGCCCUGAAAAGCAGUGGCGGGCUCGCCGUAACUCCGAGCGCAGUAGUUUAUUCUCGUUCUGGAAGCGUGGCGGGUGCCGGCCGUUAAACCCCUUCUUUUACAAAGGUUGACCUCGGAUCAGGUAGGAAUACCCGCUGAACUUAAGCAUAUCAAUAAGCGGAGGA